rnacentral:rRNA from 1 species
UCAGGAUGAACGCUGGCGGCGUGCUUAACACAUGCAAGUCGAGCGGAGGUUGUACUUCGGUACAACCUUAGCGGCGGACGGGUGAGUAACGCGUGGGUGACCUGCCUUAUACAGGGGGAUAACAGUGAGAAAUCACUGCUAAUACCGCAUAAGACCACAGUGCUGCAUGGCACAGAGGUAAAAGGAGCAAUCCAGUAUAAGAUGGACCCGCGUCUGAUUAGCUAGUUGGAGAGGUAACGGCUCACCAAGGCGACGAUCAGUAGCCGACCUGAGAGGGUGAUCGGCCACAUUGGGACUGAGACACGGCCCAAACUCCUACGGGAGGCAGCAGUGGGGAAUAUUGCACAAUGGGGGAAACCCUGAUGCAGCAACGCCGCGUGAAGGAAGACGGUUUUCGGAUUGUAAACUUCUAUCGACGGGGAAGAAAAAAAUGACAGUACCCGAGUAAGAAGCCCCGGCUAACUACGUGCCAGCAGCCGCGGUAAUACGUAGGGGGCAAGCGUUAUCCGGAAUCACUGGGUGUAAAGGGUGCGUAGGCGGUUAUGUAAGUCAGAUGUGAAAUACCGAAGCUCAACUUCGGGGCUGCAUUUGAAACUGUGUGACUAGAGUACAGGAGAGGUAAGUGGAAUUCCUAGUGUAGCGGUGAAAUGCGUAGAUAUUAGGAAGAACACCAGUGGCGAAGGCGACUUACUGGACUGAAACUGACGCUGAGGCACGAAAGCGUGGGGAGCAAACAGGAUUAGAUACCCUGGUAGUCCACGCUGUAAACGAUGAAUGCUAGGUGUUGGCGCGAGAGCGUCGGUGCCGCAGUUAACACAAUAAGCAUUCCACCUGGGGAGUACGAUCGCAAGAUUGAAACUCAAAGGAAUUGACGGGGGCCCGCACAAGCGGUGGAGUAUGUGGUUUAAUUCGAAGCAACGCGAAGAACCUUACCAAGACUUGACAUCCCUUUGAAUAAGCAUGUAAUGUGCUUAGCCCUUCGGGACAAAGGUGACAGGUGGUGCAUGGUUGUCGUCAGCUCGUGUCGUGAGAUGUUGGGUUAAGUCCCGCAACGAGCGCAACCCUUAUCCUAAGUAGCUAGCAGUUCAGCUGAGCACUCUGAGGAGACUGCCGGGGAUAACUCGGAGGAAGGUGGGGAUGACGUCAAAUCAUCAUGCCCCUUAUGUUUUGGGCUACACACGUACUACAAUGGCUGCUACAGACAGAAGCGAAACCGCGAGGUGAAGCAAAGCUGAAAAAGGCAGUCCCAGUUCGGAUUGUAGGCUGCAACUCGCCUACAUGAAGUUGGAAUCGCUAGUAAUCGCGAAUCAGCAUGUCGCGGUGAAUACGUUCCCGGGCCUUGUACACACCGCCCGUCACACCAUGGGAGUUAGAAGCACCCGAAGCCUGUGACUAAACCGUAAGGAUAGAGCAGUCGAAGGUGAAGCUAGUGACUGGGGUGAAGUCGUAACAAG